GACCGCUGCCGCACCACAGGGACGUUAACUUCGUGUGCGUGUUAUAAAACUUACCAAGUGGACCACUUUAUUCCACGUGAGCCAACGACAGGACCGGUAGCAGUUGAGUUAACGUUAACCUGUGUGAAGCGACCGCUAACUUCCUCUGGACGUUGGUUAGUUAGUUAGUUAGUUAGUUAGCAGCAGAAAGUCGCUGCGUGACAAUUACGACGUCCGUUUGCGAUUCAUUGAGGCGUUCAAGGGCACCUCGAAAAUAUCAACACUUCUUAGCGUGUCACUUUUAAUGUGUAAUUUGCUUAUUUUUAACCAGAGGAGAGUGUAAAAAAGACCCUGCGACAAUAUGUCCAGACCGCCUUAUUUUGGAGCCAAAGCGGACAACAGGAGGUUGAGGAGGAUCAUCGCUGAAGAUGUAGACUGGUCCCUCCAUGUGGUGCCUUGUUUAUCAAAGCUCUGCUUGCAAAGCAUUGUGAGAAGCUUUGAGGAAAAGCCCAUAUUUGAAGAACUUCCGCCUUUGGACAGAGUCUUUGUGCAGGAGAGACUGCCCACCUCCCUGCCUCUCCAUGUGACGGCCAACUCUGUCAGCGACGGCGUCUUCUGGAAGCGGUGCUGCGAGCAGCGCUGGGACAUUUGUGACCCCGCUGAUUAUGGCCACAGCUGGAAACGAAUGUUCUUCGAGAGGCACGUGGAGAACAUCAUCGAGCUUUUCAUCCCAGAUGAAACUGAGCCAAGGGCAGUCCUGGAGAUGGUGCCUCUUUGUAAGAACUAUGUCAAGAGACUGGACAUCUCCCAACUCCUGCCUCCUAUCAAGGAGCCCGAGAAGAAGGAGGAGGAGGAAUAUGGUCCAGAGUUGGCCGGGCCGUCCAUGGACCACUUCGACUUUAACAUCCUGCUCAAAAAGCUGACGAAACUGGAAGAGCUUCAUUUGGUGUACAGGGUGAAGCAAUGCGGCAUGAACUUUGAACGGACGAUGUUUGAGAUGACUGACAGAGAUUGCGAGUCCCUCGCCGAGGCCCUCGUGUCCUGCAAGACUUUGAAGCUUCUGAGGCUCCAUCAAAGCAACAUUGAGGAUAAAAAGUGCCGGCGGCUGGUGAGAAACCUUCUGGACCACCCGUCCCUGACGGAGCUCGACUUGUCCCACAACGUGAUCGGAGACAAAGGAGCCGCAGCCAUCGGGAGGCUGCUGGCCAGGAAUAAACUGGAGACCCUGAACAUGUGCGACAACAACAUCAGAGGCCCGGGAGCUGAAGCUAUAGCUCGCGCCUUGUCCGUGAACUCCAGCCUCCUGUCACUCAACCUGCGUCUCAACCGCGUGGGAGAUGGGGGGGGGCGGGCCAUUGGUGAGGCCUUGCUGAACAACAGGACCCUGCUUCACCUGCACCUGGGGGCCAAUGUGGUAACAGGGCCUUCUGCCGUCGCACUGUCGAAGGUUCUAGUUGAGAACGGCACCCUGAAGAGCAUCAAUCUCUCCUGCAACAACCUGGGCGUGGAUGGAGGUAGAGCUCUGCAGGAGGCGAUGUCUCAUAACACCAGCGUGACAGAAUGUGACAUCCGCCUGACGCAGAUUGACGAGCAGAGCGUCUCCUUCAUCAACAAGGCGGUUUGGACCAACCAGAGACCAAGUAAACAACAACAACAACAACAAACAGCAAACCCGUCCGUUUAGCCACAGAGAGGGAUUUUCUUUACAACAAAUACAGCACAACGUUUCCUUUUCAUAAUAAUCGGUGCAAUAAAAACGCUACGAUUUCACACACGUCUCCAUCAUCUGUUACAGCUUAUUAACUUUAAAUGAGACAAUCACAUGAGAAUCACUUAAUGAACAAGACAAAUACGCGUUUGACACAUUUUGAUUCACGGCUUUGGUUUUAAGUCCUUAUUUGACACGAAGGCAACGUUGUGUUGGAGUUGGAAUACACACACAUUUGUGCCCACGUGUCCAUCCGGAUGGAUCACGUCUGGCCGAUGCCCCGUCAUGAGAAACGCUUAAUGGGCUCAUUUCAAUCCCUUCUGUAAUUUGGUUGCCCAUUAAAAUGCCUUUUAAACGCUUAUAUUCUCCACCACAUUAACCAAUAAAGGGUCAGUUUGACAUUUUCGGGAAA